rnacentral:rRNA from 1 species
AUUGAACGCUGGCGGCAGGCCUAACACAUGCAAGUCGAGCGGUAACACAGGGAGCUUGCUCCUGGGUGACGAGCGGCGGACGGGUGAGUAAUGUCUGGGAAACUGCCUGAUGGAGGGGGAUAACUACUGGAAACGGUAGCUAAUACCGCAUAACGUCGCAAGACCAAAGAGGGGGACCUUCGGGCCUCUUGCCAUCAGAUGUGCCCAGAGGGGAUUAGCUAGUAGGUGGGGUAACGGCUCACCUAGGCGACGAUCCCUAGCUGGUCUGAAAGGAUGACCAGCCACGCUGGAACUGAGACACGGUCCAGACUCCUACGGGAGGCAGCAGUGGGGAAUAUUGCACAAUGGGCGCAAGCCUGAUGCAGCCAUGCCGCGUGUAUGAAGAAGGCCUUCGGGUUGUAAAGUACUUUCAGCGGGGAGGAAGGCGAUAAGGUUAAUAACCUUGUCGAUUGACGUUACCCGCAGAAGAAGCACCGGCUAACUCCGUGCCAGCCGCCGCAGUAA